GACGAACGCUGGCGGCGUGCUUAACACAUGCAAGUCGAACGGAAAGGCCCUGCUUUUGUGGGGUGCUCGAGUGGCGAACGGGUGAGUAACACGUGAGUAACCUGCCCUUGACUUUGGGAUAACUUCAGGAAACUGGGGCUAAUACCGGAUAGGAGCUCCUGCUGCAUGGUGGGGGUUGGAAAGUUUCGGCGGUUGGGGAUGGACUCGCGGCUUAUCAGCUUGUUGGUGGGGUAGGGGCUUACCAAGGCUUUGACGGGUAGCCGGCCUGGGAGGGUGACCGGCCACAUUGGGGUAGAGGUAGCGCCCAUACUCACUCGGGGGGCAGGGGGGGGGAAUAUGCCACAAGGGGCGGCGGCCUGAAGCAGCAACGCCGGGGGCGGAAUGACGGCCUUCGGGUUGUAACCCGCUUUCGCCUGUGACGAAGCGUGAGUGACGGUAAUGGGCAAAGAAGCACCGGUUAACUCCUU
rnacentral:rRNA from 1 species